rnacentral:lncRNA from 1 species
CCAGAAGAACUGGGACUUUUUAUUUUCUUUCUUUUUUGCUUCAGCUCUUUCACUUUGGUUUAAAGCUGCCUUCUGCUGGCACGGAUUGGGCAGUUAAGAACGAAAAAGGCACUGGCCGCUUGAAGACUCCCAUUGUUGCGGGAAAGCAGAGGACCAGAAAGACCAAUGGGUGGAGCAGGAGGAUUUUAUUAAGGGUCAAGCCUGCAAUACCUAAAGCUCCAGACCUGGAACCCAAAGCUCCCAUCAGUCGCUACCCUGUGAACCUGUGGAGGAUCUGAAGUACCUGUUUAAAAGGCAUCCAAAAGAUAGAAUCUAUCAAGCUACAAAUGGCUAUGUUGCCUGAAGCCCCAGACAUCAUCCUACAAGAAAUAAGUCCAGACUUCUUAAUUUCCCCCUGGAUAGAGCAGGGUAAGAGUUCUGUGGUCCCCUGUUAGGUGGGGCCAGCAGUCCCACUCAGCUGGAAGCAAGUAUAGAAGAAAGAACUUCAACCCUCAGCAACCUAUUAUGAUUUAUGGGGAUCACAUCUCUCAGAGGGAAUUGAGGCAGGAGAAUAGGGAAGGAAGUCAGAAAAUCAACCUGCAGCCUUUUCUCACCAAAACAAGCAUAAGGCACCAUCUGAUAAGGAAGCUGAAGCAAUGAACCAAUGCUUUCUGCAGUAAACAAAUCUGGUAUAACCUUUUAUUAUAAUAAGUUACUUAAAGCCCAUACAUAUGGAAUGCAUAUCAUACAUACACUUAAAAUUAUGGAAUGGCAAGCACAUGCAGGCGCACUGAGAGAGAAAACCAACAAGAAAACUGAUAUGUCAAUUAUAGGCAACCUCCUCCCUAAAAGUUAAGUAAGAGUAGUAAGGUGGUAUAAAAGAACAAAGGCUAUGUUAACCCAGGGCUGAUACCACUCGCGGAUCAGCCCAUUCUUCUCUCUGGAACAUUCUUUGCUUAAUACAUCUUGUGGGGUCAUUA